rnacentral:tRNA from 1 species
GGGUGAUUAGCUCAGCUGGGAGAGCUAGAGCAGUUGACUUUUAAUCAAUUGGUCGCAGGUUCGAAUCCUGCACGACCCACCA